CCUACGGGUGGCAGCAGUGGGGGAUAUUGCACAAUGGGGGGAACCCUGAUGCAGCGACGCCGCGUGGGUGAAGAAGCGCCUCGGCGCGUAAAGCCCUGUCAGCAGGGAAGAAAAUGACGGUACCUGAAGAAGAAGCCCCGGCUAACUACGUGCCAGCCGCCGCGGUACUACGUAGGGGGCAAGCGUUAUCCGGAUUUACUGGGUGUAAAGGGGGCGCAGACGGCGAUGCAAGCCAGGAGGGAAAGCCCGGGGCCCAACCCCGGGACUGCUCUUGGAACUGCGUGGCGUGAGUGCAGGAGGGGCAGGCGGAAUUCCUGGUGUAGCGGUGAAAUGCGUAGAUAUCAGGAGGAACACCGGUGGCGAAGGCGGACUGCUGGACUGCAACUGACGUUGAGGCCCGAAAGCGUGGGGAGCAAACAGGAUUAGAUACCCGUGUAGUC
rnacentral:rRNA from 1 species